GAAGAUUUAGUUAAAUUAUAACAUUAGAAUGUCAAACUAAAAUAAUCAUUUAUCAAAUAUGAUAUUCUUCA
rnacentral:tRNA from 1 species